AUUGAACGCUGGCGGCAGGCCUAACACAUGUAAGUCGAGCGGAUGAAGGGAGCUUGCUCCUGGAUUCAGCGGCGGACGGGUGAGUAAUGCCUAGGAAUCUGCCUGGUAGUGGGGGAUAACGUCCGGAGACGGGCGCUAAUACCGCAUACGUCCUGAGGGAGAAAGUGGGGGAUCUUCGGACCUCACGCUAUCAGAUGAGCCUAGGUCGGAUUAGCUAGUUGGUGGGGUAAAGGCCUACCAAGGCGACGAUCCGUAACUGGUCUGAGAGGAUGAUCAGUCACACUGGAACUGAGACACGGUCCAGACUCCUACGGGAGGCCGCGGUGGGGAAUAUUGGACAAUGGGCGAAAGCCUGAUCCAGCCAUGCCGCGUGUGUGAAGAAGGUCUUCGGAUUGUAAAGCACUUUAGGUUGGGAGGAAGGGCAGUAAGUUAAUACCUUGCUGUUUUGACGUUACCAACAGAAUAAGCACCGGCUAACUUCGUG
rnacentral:rRNA from 1 species